GGGUGUGAAGGUGAUCUGGCUAGCUAGGCAGGUGUCCCCUUCCUCCCUCACUGCUCCAUAUGCGUCCUUCCAGAAGCUGAGAACUCCAUCAAAGAGGAAGGCCUUCCCUGAAUAGAGACGGACAGGUCUUCAGUGAGGGUAUGCAGAGUAGCUGCGCUCCCCUCCUAGAAAUUCCAAAUAAGCUCUCAAGAAUAUGAAAGUAAAAUAUCCAUAUCCACUUAUUAAAAAAAAAAAAAAAGCAGU
rnacentral:snRNA from 1 species